GAUGAAAACGUAGCGAAAUGCGAUAAGUAAUGUGAAUUGCAGAAUUCAGUGAAUCAUCGAAUCUUUGAACGCACCUUGCACCCUUUGGCAUUCUGAAGGGUAUGCUCGUUUGAGUGUCAUUGUACUCUCACACUCCCGAUCUUUGCAUUGGGAGCAGUGGACUUGGGUUUGCUGCUUCACCGUCGCUUACCUCAAAUAGGUUAGUGCAACUCUUGGUUGGACAUAGUACGGCGUGAUAAGUGUUCUUCGCCGGUGCCUCGCAAAGAGGGUGGCCGAUCGGGAUGUUGUGCUCCAAACCGUCUUCGGACAAUCUCUGACGACUUGACCUCAAAUCGAGUAAGACUACCCGCUGAACUUAAGCAUAUCAAUAAGCGGAGGA
rnacentral:misc_RNA from 1 species